rnacentral:sRNA from 1 species
GCAAGUAUCCAUUUUUAUGGUGACGCUGGUGCAACGGGGACUGAUAAUCCCUCCAGCAAUACUUCUUUCAAAAAGCCUACAGUUGCGUAAAUAAGGCUGCUACCUUUUUUAUUCAAUUGAAUCCCGGCGGUAAUUCGCAAGGACAGAGUGAAAGAAAGCUCUUAGGGGAGAAGCAAGGAAAGGCGCAUCAUUGACUUAAAGCAAGCGCGGAAUUGGGCAAAUCAGAAGGACGAAUUGUGAUGUUUCGGUUACAAGUAAGUCCUCCGUAGCAAACAGAUAGAUUAUCUAUGUCUAUUUGGAACCAAGCGUGCCGUUCGAAAGAACGAUAGUAAGAAUGCCUACUGAUCUUGAAGUCUGGUAACAGACCAUAAAGUUCCAGCGUUGUGCGAGUAGCUCAAACGGUCAGUUUUUUUAAUAUGAAUAUUACAGAAAAAUAUUACAAUUAAAAGUAUUCGUAUAUCGGGUGAAAGUUAGGGAGUAACCAGUCUCCGCUCUAUCCUUAGAAAGCGCAUGUCAGCUCACAGGUCGCUCUUGUGGGUACGAGAUAUGUUGAUAGUAGCUUAAUAAAGUCAUGAUGUAAGUCAUCAGAGUCCUAAUAAGACUCCACCAUUAUUUUGGCGAUG